AUUGUGUUAUAACGGUACAGAUGAAAACCAUGCUUGUUACAAUAGAGAAUUCAUAUAUUCCUGUACGUGACCCUACUUCUGCAUUCAAAAUGACAAAUUCCUUAACAAAGUCUCUUGCUAAAUUAAAGAAGAAAUGAUCUCAAAUAACACAUUUUGAUGCCACAAGCCUUGCCACAUCCUUAAGACACAAGGAUCACCAGCCCAUGCAUCAAAAGGCUGCUAAAGUAGAUAGCUUAGUUUGGAAAAUUGUUGCUCAUACAGGACACCUAUUUUAUGCACAUCCAUACUGUGAGGGCUCGCCAUUUGGGCUGGUCCAGCCCACCUUAAAAACAAAAAAUCUUGAUUCCAUCCCCAAUUUUGGAAACAGGGGAUUCCCCUGUUUUUGGGUGUUGAAGGAGGAAGAAUCCUCCUCCAACUCUUCUUUGUUGGAGGCUAGGAACCCUAACCUCUGUGCUUCUUAAAGCAACACCCCCCUUACCCCCACCCCCACUGGGAUUCACCCUCAUCGAGAGCUCGCCGCAUCCUCUUUUCUUUAUUCUUUUCCUUUUGAUUUCUGAUGAUUGGACUCGUUAUGACUGCCAGAAUCUGGCCACUUCAGCCAAGCCCC
rnacentral:lncRNA from 1 species